rnacentral:rRNA from 1 species
UACGAAGGGGGCUAGCGUUGCUCGGAAUCACUGGGCGUAAAGCGCACGUAGGCGGAUUGUUAAGUCAGGGGUGAAAUCCUGGAGCUCAACUCCAGAACUGCCUUUGAUACUGACGAUCUCGAGUCCGGGAGAGGUGAGUGGAACUGCGAGUGUAGAGGUGAAAUUCGUAGAUAUUCGCAAGAACACCAGUGGCGAAGGCGGCGCACUGGCCCGGUACUGACGCUGAGGUGCGAAAGCGUGGGGAGCAAACAGG